rnacentral:rRNA from 1 species
ACGGAGGGUGCAAGCGUUAUCCGGAUUCACUGGGUUUAAAGGGUGCGUAGGCGGGAAAUUAAGUCAGCGGUGAAAGCCCCGAGCUCAACUUGGGAACUGCCAUUGAUACUGAUUUUCUUGAAUAUGGCUGAGGUGGGCGGAAUACGUCAUGUAGCGGUGAAAUGCAUAGAUAUGACGUAGAACACCAAUUGCGAAGGCAGCUCACUAAACCAUUAUUGACGCUGAGGCACGAAAGCGUGGGGAGCGAACAGG